rnacentral:rRNA from 1 species
CCUGAGAAACCCAAAAGAUCGAAUGGGGAGAUUCAUCGUCAGCUCAUUUUGUAUAUGUAUGAGUUAUGAUGCGGGUUACYACUUGUAGUAUUGCCUGCACAUUCUUAUAUAUUUAAUUGCAAGAUGUUGUCGGCGUGCACUUCUCCCCUAGUAGGACGUCGCGACCUGUUGGGUGUCGGUCUACGACUCAAGUGAUAGACUUUGAUGUGUGUAAUUAAAAAAGCGCAUAUUAAAGAUCCUUGAUGUUUUCUGACCGGCUACUUGGCAGUAUUCGUACGGUAUUUAGCCGCUAAAUUUUUAAUUAAGCGUUUAUAUCCGUCACAAGCGAGGCUAAUUUACUGAUAGUACGGACCUAGUGCCGUCGUUGGUAUUGGCCAGCUGUUGGUUGUAUGGUAUUCUAUAACNGGCUAAAAUUAANUACCGGUCGGCG